GACGUAGGGCGCGAGCGUUGUCCGGAUUUAUUGGGCGUAAAGAGCUCGUAGGCGGCUUGUCGCGUCGACUGUGAAAUCCCGCGGCUCAACCGCGGGUCUGCAGUCGAUACGGGCAGGCUAGAGUUCGGUAGGGGAGACUGGAAUUCCUGGUGUAGCGGUGAAAUGCGCAGAUAUCAGGAAGAACACCCGUGGCGAAGGCGGCUCUCUGGGACGGUACUGACGCUGAGACGCGAAAGCGUGGGGAGCGAACAGG
rnacentral:rRNA from 1 species